AUAUAGCUCAGUGGUAGUGUGUUUAUCUUGCAUGUAGAAGGCCCUGGGUUCAACACCCAGUAU
rnacentral:tRNA from 1 species